rnacentral:misc_RNA from 1 species
AGUCGAUAUUGACGAUGGUUACAAGAGAUUAAGGGAUGAAUGGAAGGAAACAGGCUGCACAAUCUUAUGUGAUUGUUGGUCUGAUGGAAGGGCCAAAUGCCUAGUGGUAUUUUCUGUAACAUGUUCUAAAGGGACAAUGUUCCUUAGGUCUGUAGAUGUAUCUGAUCACGCAGAUGAUCCUCAUUAUCUAUUCGGGUUGCUUGAAUCAGUUGUUCUGGUG